UACGUAGGGUGCAAGCGUUGUCCGGAAUUAUUGGGCGUAAAGAGCUCGUAGGCGGUUUGUCGCGUCUGCUGUGAAAACUCGGGGCUUAACUCCGAAACUGCAUUCGAUACUGCCGUGCUUGAGGACUGGAGAGGAGACUGGAAUUUACGGUGUAGCGGUGAAAUGCGUAGAUAUCGUAAGGAACACCGGUGGCGAAGGCGGGUCUCUGGGCAACAACUGACGCUGAGGAGCGAAAGCGUGGGGAGCGAACAGG
rnacentral:rRNA from 1 species